rnacentral:tRNA from 1 species
GCGUGUGUAGCUCAGUGGUAGAGCGCCACUCUUAUAAAGUGGAUGUCCCAGGUUCGAUCCCUGGCACACGCA